UAGAAAUUGAAAUUUUUAUUGAAAACAGUCGCAAUGCUCAGUGUCAGAGGUGUUGGCACAUUACUAGUAGUAGCCGUCGCUUUAGUGUGUCAUACAAUUGGAGUGACUUUGCCUGAUGGCUUUUACAUUGACGAAAGCAAAUUUGUUGCACAUACAUCCAGAGCAGCAGGUAUUGGGGGAAAAUGUAGCCGAGCAAAUAUAACCGAAUGUUCCGACGAUUGUACAUCAUUGUUGACAUGCGACAAAAACGGAAUCGUCACAUCCAGUGCUAAAUGCAACUCACAAUAUUAUUCUAUGUAUUGUGUCAAAAAGGGUUACCAAGAUGAUUGUUCGCUCAAUUUUCCAAUAAGCAAUCAACAAUGCUUCAAUUAUGCUUACAACAAUUUCGAAUGUACUGGAGAUGGAGUUUUUCCAGAUCCUACUGAUGGCACUAAGUACCACGAAUGCAGCGGAACCACACACACAAUUCGUGAAUGCCAAGGCAAUUAUCGUUUUUGGUAUGAUGCAAAAAGCCUGUAUGAGCCGACGACAAAUGGAAAUUUCACUUGUCGUUACUUCAACGAACAAACUUGUCAAUCAUCAUUUCCAUCAUUUAUUUGCCAAAAUUCACCAAAUACGUACACGUUUCGUGGUGGUGACAUGCACUAUUAUGCUUACUGUAUGACACAGAAAUUCUUUACUAUCUAUUAGUUUUGGUUGUUUGGGAA